rnacentral:lncRNA from 1 species
GUCCAAUUUGAGAUGUUUUACAAACACGACUGAUCAAACUGCAAUGGCACAAGGAUUACUAUCACGUGUGAAGAUUUCUUGAAGCUGAACGUACACCAACUUCUUCUCACGUGGUGGCUCUUGUUUUCCUGGAGGAAAUAAACCUGCGUUUUGACAUCUCUGGACUGGAUUCCUUCCCCUCCUGAGACAGACGGACAACAACCACAUGUUUUCACCCUCGGGGAU